UCUAGCAGAUCCACUUUGCCAAUGAUUGUGUAUGUGAUUCAACAGUAGCCUGAUUCAUUUCCUUUGACUCAACUCAUCAAAAUAUUUCAUCUCUUGCAAGAUUUGCAGAUUUAUUAUUUAUAUAUAUUUGUACUGUAUGUUUGGACAUUCAUCUUGAAACAGACAACAAAAUUAUUGACAAGGCAUAUAGAGGAAAUUGUGAUUUUAAGCAGAAAGUAUCAUUGAAAAAAACAAAUCUUACAAGUAGUCAACUCAUUAACAAAUAAUAUGCUCCUGUAGAACUCAAAAUGGGAUAUUUUCCUUUUUGCUUUUGGUUUGGAUUGCUACUGGGAUGUUGGCACUUUUUUGCCUAUAAAAAACUAUGUGCCAUGUUAUCUGAAAAAUUACAAGUCCUUUCUGCAAACAUUUUAAAAUGGAGUGAAAUGGUAAGUUGUGUAUACUAAUAGUUAAAAUGAAAAUUAGAUAUUUCAGUUAGUGAACAACUAAGUACUUAAUCACUCAUAUAUUAGGUUUUGUGCUCCACUCUAGAAAGUCACUGAGAUAAACAGACCUGGUUACUACUGCCCUAUAAAGUUAACUGUUCAGCUUUAAAAGUAAUUUCCAUUAGAAAAAAAAAAAAAGUUA